rnacentral:rRNA from 1 species
CAUGCAAGGCGAACGCUGAAACCCGACCCUUGUAUCGUGUGUAUGAGUGGCGAACGGGUGAGUAACACGUGAGUAACCUGCCCCUGACUUCGAUAUAAGCCCGGAAACUGUGUCUAUAAUACCGGAUACGACUGCCGGACGCAUGUCUGGUGGUGGAAAGUUUUUUCGGUUGGAUAUGGGCUCGCGGCCUAUCAGUUUGUUGGUGAGGUAAUGGCUCACCAAGACGACGACGGGUAGCCGGCCUGAGAGGGCGACCGGCCACACUGGGACUGAGACACGGCCCAGACUCCUACGGGAGGCAGCAGUGGGGAAUAUUGCACAAUGGGGGAAACCCUGAUGCAGCGACGCAGCGUGCGGGAUGACGGCCUUCGGGUUGUAAACCGCUUUCAGCAGGGAAGAAGCCUUCGGGUGACGGUACCUGCAGAAGAAGUACCGGCUAACUACGUGCCAGCAGCCGCGGUAAUACGUAGGGUACGAGCGUUGUCCGGAAUUAUUGGGCGUAAAGAGCUCGUAGGUGGUUGGUCACGUCUGCUGUGGAAACGCAACGCUUAACGUUGCGCGUGCAGUGGGUACGGGCUGACUAGAGUGCAGUAGGGGAGUCUGGAAUUCCUGGUGUAGCGGUGAAAUGCGCAGAUAUCAGGAGGAACACCGGUGUCGAAGGCGGGCCUCUGGACUGUAACUUACACU